GAUGAACGCUAGCGGGAGGCCUAACACAUGCAAGCCGAGCGGUAGAGUUUCUUCGGAAACUUGAGAGCGGCGCACGGAUGCGUAACACGUGUGCAACCUACCUUUAUCUGGGGGAUAGCCUUUCGAAAGGAAGAUUAAUACCCCAUAAUAUAAUGAUUGGCAUCAAUUAUUAUUGAAAACUCCGGUGGAUAGAGAUGGGCACGCGCAAGAUUAGAUAGUUGGUGAGGUAACGGCUCACCAAGUCAAUGAUCUUUAGGGGUCCUGAGAGGGAGAUCCCCCACACUGGUACUGAGACACGGACCAGACUCCUACGGGAGGCAGCAGUGAGGAAUAUUGGACAAUGGGUGAGAGCCUGAUCCAGCCAUCCCGCGUGAAGGAUGACGGUCCUAUGGAUUGUAAACUUCUUUUGUACAGGGAUAAACCUACCCUCGUGAGGGUAGCUGAAGGUACUGUACGAAUAAGCACCGGCUAACUCCGUG
rnacentral:rRNA from 1 species